CAAAAAAAAAAAAAAACUUUACUAGGCUUCUAAUCAUAUCUAUUAUCUUUUCUUCUGAAAUUACUACAUAUGAGCCACACUCUUGAUUAGUAAUCAUAGUUGGGCAACAGGAUUGCUAGUCUAGUCUUUGUUAUUGAUUAGUUUGAUUGAGCUAGUAUUGUGUUAGAGUAUAGGAUAAAUAUGUAGAGCUGUUUAUUCCUUUCAUUCUCAAUGAAAUGCACACUGGAUCCCUGUAGUGGUACAGCUUAGUGAUGCUUUCACUUUGUUUUGAGAUUUCAAGAAACUAUUAUACUUUGCAGAUUGUGGGAGUUGUAUUUGAUCUUUUCUCAUUAGCUUUUGUUAAAUCCCUUAUUUAAAUAGGAAGUAUUGGUGAUAAUGAUGCUUGUGGUUGAAACCUUCCUAGGACCCACCAUGACAUUUUACUGCCAUCCAAGCUAUUCAUAAGGUCACAAAGGCUUGGAUGAAGGCAAAACACAAAUACCAGCUUUAUUCAAAACUUCUAUAGCUCCCAAGAAAUUUUUAAUGAUGGAUAUCUAUCCUAGUGUGUCCCACUUGAGCCUUAGAUCUAUUUUAUUUGUGGGUUUACAUCCUAAAAUGACAUGACAAAAUUGAUGUACGGUGUUGAUAAACCCAUAAAUCAUGGUGGGCCGCUCACAGCCUGUUUUUAGCUGAGGGUCGUGAGCGGCCCACCAUGAUAGGAAAAACGUCUACAAGAUGAAAUACAGUCUAUCAAGGCACAAAAGGUAAUUUCUAACUAUUGGUUUUCGUAAAAUUUUCUCAUUUUGAUCUAGUAUGUUAUAGUUUGUCAUGUGAUUUCAGGGUAUGUUAGGGCUAAAUAGUUUCUGAAAUGUCAGGUCCAAUUGCAACACAAGAUAAAGCAAGAGGUAGAGCAAUUUCAGUAGUGAAAGGCUUCUCGUGAAAAGGAACUGCUGCAGGCUACUGGAAGCUUGGAAUCAAGAAUUUAAACUAUAGCCUAUUGCUGGUCUAUAUGAAAGCAUACAUCAAAAGGAAAAACUAUUCUCUUCUAAGUUCUGUAGGUUGUGGCAGGUUUUGAUUAUACUCUAGUCAUUAUCUCCAAUUAGCAGCAAAGUAUAAAAGCUAGAACAAGCUGCUUCAGUUUUUUCUUGUAGAUGGGUACUACAGCUUGCUUUAUUUGUUAUUCAUUUGAGUG